UGGGGAAUUUUGGACAAUGGGCGCAAGCCUGAUCCAGCCAUGCCGCGUGCGGGAAGAAGGCCUUCGGGUUGUAAACCGCUUUUGUCAGGGAAGAAAUCUUCUGAGUUAAUACCUCGGGAGGAUGACGGUACCUGAAGAAUAAGCACCGGCUAACUACGUGCCAGCAGCCGCGGUAAUACGUAGGGUGCAAGCGUUAAUCGGAAUUACUGGGCGUAAAGCGUGCGCAGGCGGUUUUGUAAGACAGAGGUGAAAUCCCCGGGCUCAACCUGGGAACUGCCUUUGUGACUGCAAGGCUUGAGUGCGGCAGAGGGGGAUGGAAUUCCGCGUGUAGCAGUGAAAUGCGUAGAUAUGCGGAGGAACACCGAUGGCGAAGGCAAUCCCCUGGGCCUGCACUGACGCUCAUGCACGAAAGCGUGGGGAGCAAACAGGAUUAGAUACCCUGGUAGUCCACGCCCUAAACGAUGUCAACUGGUUGUUGGGAAGGUUCCUUCUCAGUAACGUAGCUAACGCGUGAAGUUGGCCGCCUGGGGAGUACGGCCGCAAGGUUGAAACUCAAAUGAAUUGACGGGGUCAUAGCUGUUUCCUG
rnacentral:rRNA from 1 species